rnacentral:rRNA from 1 species
AACGAACGCUGGCGGCGCGCUUAACACAUGCAAGUCGAACGAGAAGGCGUAGCAAUACGCUUGUACAGUGGCGAACGGGUGAGUAAUACGUGGGCGACCUACCCUCGAGUGGGGAAUAACCCGCCGAAAGGCGGGCUAAUGCCGCGUACGCUUCCAUCUUUAUGGAGGUGGAAGGAAAGCCGUGCCGUGGGCACGGCGCUCAAGGAUGGGCUCACGUCCUAUCAGCUUGUUGGAGGGUAACGGCCUACCAAGGCUCCGACGGGUAGCUGGUCUGAGAGGACGAUCAGCCACACUGGCACUGCGACACGGGCCAGACUCCUACGGGAGGCAGCAGUGAGGAAUAUUGCGCAAUGGGCGAAAGCCUGACGCAGCGACGCCGCGUGGGGGGAGUGAA